rnacentral:rRNA from 1 species
GUGGGGAAUCUUAGACAAUGGGCGCAAGCCUGAUCUAGCCAUGCCGCGUGAGCGAUGAAGGCCUUAGGGUUGUAAAGCUCUUUCAGUGGGGAAGAUAAUGACUGUACCCACAGAAGAAGCCCCGGCUAACUCCGUGCCAGCAGCCGCGGUAAUACGGAGGGGGCUAGCGUUGUUCGGAAUUACUGGGCGUAAAGCGCACGUAGGCGGACUGGAAAGUCAGGGGAGAAAUCCCGGGGCUCAACCCCGGAACUGCCCUUGAAACGCACAGUCUUGAGGUCGAGAGAGGUGAGUGGAAUUCCGAGUGUAGAGGUGAAAUUCGGAGAUAUUCGGAGGAACACCAGUGGCGAAGGCGGCUCACUGGCUCGAUACUGACGCUGAGGUGCGAAAGCGUGGGGAGCAAACAGGAUUAGAAACCCGUGUAGUCC